rnacentral:rRNA from 1 species
CCUACGGGUGGCAGCAGUAGGGAAUCUUCCACAAUGGACGAAAGUCUGAUGGAGCAACGCCGCGUGAGGGAAGAAGGGUUUCGGCUCGUAAAGCUCUGGUGGUAGUGAAGAAAGUUAGAGGUAGUAACUGGCCUUUAUUUGACGGUACUUACUUAGAAAGUCACGGCUAACUACGUGCCAGCAGCCGCGGUAAUACGUAGGUGGCAAGCGUUGUCCGGAGUUAUUGGGCGUAAGGCGAGUGCAGGCGGUUCAAUAAGUCUGAUGUGAAAGCCGCCGGCUCAACCGGAGAAUGGCACCAGAAACUGUUGAACUUGAGUGAAGAAGAGGAGAGUGGAACUCCAGGUGUAGCGGUGGAAUGCGUAGAUAUAUGGAAGAACACUAGUGGCGAAGGCGGCUCUCUGGUCUGCAACUGACGCUGAGGCUCGAAGGCAUGGGUAGCGAACAGGAUUAGAUACCCUAGUAGUC